GACAGCGUCCUCCUCCACGCCGAGCUGUUCGGCAAGUCCCCGUCCCCCGUGCCGGCGCCGUCGCUGGGGUUUGCCUACCUAAGGUCCUAAGGUGGGUGCCUCAAUCCUAGUUAUAAAAAAAUAUAAGAGUGAUUACCUAGGAGGAGUGGGAAGAAGUUAGCACAAACUUUGACAGAUCAGAAUAUCUGCUUGAGAAUCCAUGUUGUUUCAGAAUGCUUAAAUAUCAUGGAAGCGGUCGAGAUGCGAUGAUUGGUUUGUUGAUGGGGCAUUGGAAUACGAUCAAUUCUUCUUUUUGCCUUUUCUUUACAACAAAUGCUCAAUGGAGUUAAGAGUGGAUACCUGUGGU